rnacentral:rRNA from 1 species
CAGUAGCCACGGGAAUACGGAGGGCGCGAGCGUUACCCGGAUUUACUGGGCGUAAAGGGCGUGUAGGCGGCCUGGGGCGUCCCAUGUGAAAGGCCACGGCUCAACCGUGGAGGAGCGUGGGAUACGCUCAGGCUAGAGGGUGGGAGAGGGUGGUGGAAUUCCCGGGGUAGCGGUGAAAUGCGCAGAUACCGGGAGGAACGCCGAUGGCGAAGGCAGCCACCUGGUCCACUUCUGACGCUGAGGCUCGAAAGCGUGGGGAGCAAACCGGAUUAGAUACCCCCGUAGUCCCUGUCUCUUAUAC